AAUGGGGCGGGGCCAGGAAACAACUCGUCAAAUAUUUUAACGUCAGUUAUUCAACGAAUUCAUUGUGACAUAGCUUGCAAUAUUAGGCAAACCUGUUUUCUUUCCUCACUUUCCCCAUUUUAGUGGAGUUAAUCCCAGAGGUGUCCUCAGAUGCAAAUGGAAGUCUGGAGGAGGGGAUUGCUGACCUUAAAAGAAGCUUAUUAACUCAGGCUUGCCUUCAUGAAUAUAGAUGAGAACGCCGGUAACUUUGUACAAAACUGUGCUGCCAAUGUGCUUGGGGUAACAGUGGGUCCUUUCAAGUACAUUACAACUUCCCUUUCAUUCACCCGGCAAUUAUUUAUUGCGCUCCUACUGUGUGCCAAGGUCAGGGCACCACCCAGGGGCCUGACUCAUUGCUCUCCUUUACUCUCUGCCUCUGAAGAGUUCCCCGAUUGGCCUCACUGAAGCACAAACAAUGAGUCACUAGCAAAGCCAGUUUUUGGAGCAGAAAAGCAUGGCAAUAAUAACAAAAAACCGAAGUGCAUAGUGACACGCCUAAGGUCACACCACGGAGUACAACUGGCGAGGUAUGGUAAGUGUAGAUGAGCUGAAAUACGGACACAGAAAAGCAGUCCUUCCUUUGGAGUGGGAGGCACAGAGUGUAAGGGUGUCCUGUACUAUAAGGAAACCACGCAGGGGUUCUUAACUUGAAUGAGGACCUCCCUAAGACAUGUGGAUAGAAUCAUAUCUCAGUAUAACUUCCUUGGGGCCAGGGAUAUAGUUCAGUGGCACAGCACCAGCCUGGCAAGUUUGAGGUCAUGAGUUCAAUUCCCAGUACCAAAAAAAAGAAAAACCAGAAAACAAAACUUCCUUCCUUUGAGUUCUUAUGCGCUUUAUUGCAUGCAUUUAAAAACAAGAUCCCAAGGAGGUCCAUGUGCUUACACACACAUACCUGGGACAGACAGUUCUCAGAACUGAGGGGUUGGGGAGCUGGCUAUCUUUUGAGGAGACUGGCUUUUUGGGCAACAUAGGAGUCCUAAACAUGGGGUAUGUUUUAUCCUCUCAAGAUCUCCUGUAAAAUACAUAUUUCUCAUCCUAUCCAGCCAGGAAGGCAAAGGGGUUACAUAGUAAAUAGAAGCAAAACCAGAAUUGGACCCCAGGUUUCCUGGGGCCAAUAUGAGGUCUCUUUACCUUCCAUUUUCAUAAAUGUCAGUUCUUAAAACAGGACAAGAGGGACGAAGUAUAGCAAAAGUUGGUGGCAGUGAAUGUGUUCAGUGAAGGCAGGGUCCUGGGAGGUGAUGCCCUUUCAGGCACAUCUGGGGACCUGCCGGAGAAGCUAGUCCGAGCCCACCUAAAGUAUGCAGAGCAGAGGAAGUGGGGUGAGGGGAAGAGAAUGGAACUGUAGGGUCAGUUGAAAGGCUUCCGAGGCACCAGGAAGUGCUCCUUGGUUCCUGAAUCCAGUUCUGGCUAUACUUUCCCUGGCUAGGGACUACUCUAUGGUGUCCCAGCAUCUCCCAAAGAACUGAAGAUAGCAAUUCACAGGGCAUGGUAACUUGGGGAGGGGCAUCCUACAAGAACACUGCUCUCUGGAUCCCAGGUGCUAAUAUAAACUGCUUUAUAGAUAUUACCUUAUUUAAUCCUUACUCCAAUCCUAUGAGGUAGAUGGUGUUUAGCUUCUCUUUUACAGAUGAGGAAAUGGAGGCACAAAGAAAUAAAGGGAUUUGUGUGACAUGAAAAAGCCAAAACUGAACUCAGGUACUUUGCUUCUGGAAUCCAUACUGUUAUACAGGGUUGCCUCUGCAUGCAUAUGGGGUGAGGAGAGAAAGGACAUCUCAUAUCUAGGUGAGCCUGUCAAUCCCCAGUCAAUGGGGCCUCAGCUGGCACUCCUGCCACAGACCCUCCACUGGCCAAGCCGGAGAGUACGGUCCUGCAGCACGGGUCCCGUGCUGUGUGAUCUACAGUGUGAAAAGACUCUCCAGUGGAAACAUAGACAGCCUGGCACAGCACAGGGCAUAAAGGCCACCCCUUCCAUCAGCAAUUCUCCUUGGCAGGCUCUUCCCCAUCUGGUCUGCAGCAUGGUGAGAAGGCAAUUAAUGGAGGUAAUUUGAGAUGACAAGCUAGAGGCUGCAGGCCUUCAGUUUGGGGUCACAGUGUUCAUGCCAGCCCUGCAGGAAGAGCUGGACUGAGUCAUGCAUUUGAGAGGCUGGCCUUACACAGGAUGAGGCAGGCUGGCCAACCCCUGGCACCAGACUGGGAGGCUCGACUGAACCUUCAUGUGCUUCUUCCAGGGGAGAGAUAGCAGGGCUGCCCAUGAGGGAAACAGGGCAAAGGCGCGGACACCCAGGGAGGAGACCAUUCUAACAAAAGCUGAGGCUGCCCCUCCCUCAGAGGUGAUUGGAAGGCUUUGAGGAGGUCUGUGUGAGGCAGUCUGCAAAGUAGGAUAGCUAAUGCACGGUGGGAGAGAGUGCAGGGGUCUCCACUGUGGUCCUCUGAGCACCCAGCUCCCUUCCCACUGGUGUGUCAGGAGCACUAAGGAUGCCUCUGGUCUCAAGAGAGAUGGAGCGAGGGAAGGGGCAGGGAUCUCAGGACACAGCUGGAGGAAGUGGCUUUAAGAAACCCUGACCUGGUCUCUCUGGGCCCUGGAGACUACUGACAAACGCAAACAGACUGGGGGCUGGUCAAUGGGCACAUCUUUAGGGGGACUGAGGUGAAGGCUGGAGGGCUCUGCCCUUCUUUCCCCUCAGUUCUCUCCACGAAUGGUUUAGACGGACGGGCAGUGGACACUAUACUCUCAGCCCCCAAGGCACCGGAAGAGACAGGGAUAUAUAGUUCAGCAGUGAUUGGUGUGAGACGGGCAAGGUUUGCCGAACUGGCUGGUGAUCCCGGGGGACAGGAGGGCAAAGCCUCCCCAAGUGUGGGUGAGAUCCCGGCCUGAAGCAAAGAGAUGCCAGGUUGCUCCCCUCCGCUCCCAGGGGCCACCAGACUUUGCAGUCAGGAGCUCAAGUUCCUCUCUGUUGCAGGGACAACAGUAAGGCGAGGAGCUGACCCAGAUGGGAGGAAACAAAGCUCUGCUGGACAAAGGAUUGCCGCAGCACGGAGUUGGAGCCCAGACCUCGCCGGACCCACCAGGAAGGUCCGCGGCUUCUCCCGGGUGGCUCAGGGCAGUUAAAGCUGCCAGGUCCGACCUCCGCCAAACUUGCACACCUCUUCGCCCCACCCCUUACGCCUUCACCCCGCCGCACCCGCGCUGCCCGACGCGGUCCAGCCACGCCCGCCGCCUGGGCUUUAGGAGCCUCUAGGACGAUCCGGAACGGCGGGGAGAACCGUCUUUCGUGAAUGCGUUUCUCCCUCAGCCCCUUCGUGAGAUCUGGGCCCUGUGAAACCCAGCCUUCUGUGCCAGAAUAAGGGGGCAUCCCCGAAGGGCAAGUCUGUAGACCCGCGCCGCUCCCCGACCUCGCGGGCCCGAUGUGGAGACAAGUCUGGGACCGCCCAGGGUGGUGCGAGAAGCCCCACACCCGGGCGGCGAGCUGAGAUUUCUUCAGCGUGGCAGGCGGCCCGGGACUGCAGGAUCCCCGCCCGCGAGCCGGGCACUCACCGUGCAGGGUCGCAGGCCCUGUUAUUACCGCGGCCGCCAACACCACGCCCUUCCUGGGGGUGCCUGGCCGUGCUGGGGUGAUGCUGGAAAGAAUCCGGUCUCAUCCCAAGGAAAGGAUCGCGAAAAGUCCGAUGCCAGCCGAGUUGCUGCUUAAGGAGUCGCGGCACGUAGGCGUGUGACUGCAGCUCCCCGGGGCAUCUGCUUUCCCUUCUGCGAAAUGGGCGCGCGGCACUCGCUGGGAGGUCUGUAGAGAACUGGACCUGGACUUGGUCCAAAGGAAGGUCCCUUGACUCUUGCUGGGGGGAUUUCUAACCCCGGCAGUGCUUUUCGUGGGCGUGGGGUAGCAAACAGGAAGCUCACCUUUGAGCUUUGUGUGCCUCAAAGCCCUAGAGAGCUGUGCAGCCGAGGGAGCGGGACCUCCAGGUCUCUUCUUGAGAGGCCUCCUUUGGAACUAUCCUGGCAAGGGGCCCCUACGUGGACACCGCCCACGAUUCUUGAGAUGCAGAAACUCUCCUUGUGGGGUGCUCAGAUAUCCAGGGAAGGUCAGGGAUCUUGCUGCCCUUGACGCCUUGGACCAGCUUCUGGGAACUGGGCUCUGGUUGUCGGGAACCUCUAGGGGGCCUUCGCGAUCUCUAUACUGUUUCCUGCAGUGAGGUUACCCAGGCCUCCCUGGCGGAUUAUGGCACUGAGAGUCUCAGAGAAGUUAGCUGGACGCUUCUGAAGGAAGCAGGAGGCCUCACUCCCUUCAGCUCUUUCUCUUUUGGGUGCAACCGGGACUAGGUGGCACUGGUAAAGGCUGUGAAACGGCUGCAGGGCCGUCUUCCAGGGCUGCGAGUUGAGGCUGGAGCACAGCACUUUGGAGCUUUGGAGAACACUUCCCUGCCGCGGAAGCCGCCGCCCCUGGGGGGCUGGCCCUUCAUCCCAUGCUCACCUCUGGUCCUGCUGCUUGGGAAGGACCCCUCAGUUGCCUUCCUACUCUGUGUUUGUUGAGGAAUGAACAAUUCCACACGGACAGGCCUCACUUUGGACCCCCAGCCUCAAGGUGAGGAUGGGGAAUCUCUUCCCUGCCUUCACUUGCCUUCCACCCUCUCACCAAAGCCCUGCUUUGCAAGGGCCUCCCGGAGUCUUGGAGCCUCCCACCUGGGUCUCUGACACCCCUGGUGCGAGCCAGCCUCUCUCCCCAGCCCUGUCACAGGUCACUGGGAGUGAAGAGGCUGUUUAAAUAUUGGCCCUGCAGUUUGCUGCUGUGAGACACUUCAGUCCUUCGAGCUCUGCAAUCAGGUGAUGCCAUCAUCUUUGGAGUAGGCUGAAAUAACACAUGUGAAACACAACAUCUGGCACAAAUAAAUACCUACUGAGGACCAGAGCUAGAA